GACCUCAAGUGACACACUUGCCUUCGCCUCCCAAAGUGCUGGGAUUAUAGGCGUGAGCCACCACGCCCGGACCACUUUUCGUCUUUAAAUUUCACUAAUAAGGCUUCCUAGGUCAUGACUUUUUUUUUUGGGGGGGGGGGACAAGCUUAGUCCGAAAGGUCAUUCUGAAAGACAUUUACAUCAUAAAUACAUACAUCAUCUUUCCGCAAAUGAAGGGUAAAGAAGGGUAAACAUGUAGCCUUUAGUUAUGUUAUAUCACAUACCACCACGUUGGGAAAUUUUAAAUUGCUCCUAUUCAUAAAUAGGGAAAUAUGAGUUAUAGAUGUGUUUAGUUAAAAAAGAUUAAGGAAAAUGAAGAGUGAUCUGUGUACAUAUGCAAAGAAAAAAAAGAGUCUCAAGUGAAAGACAAAUUGUUACAAAGAUCAGACUUUUGAGAACACAAAGAACAGUCACGCUGAAUUCCAUUCAAAUAUUAAGAACCUACCAUGUGCAAAAAAAGUGCUGCAAAAACACAAGAUUUUAAGUUCCAUUAAAAGAGAAGUUAUGAUAAAAGCACACACACUUAAUGAUUCCUGUUUUUGCCAUAAAAGUUCUUAUAUGCUAUAAAAAUGUUACUAAAAAUAUGUCCCUUAUAGACAAGAUUUUUCAUGACUAAGAUGAACACAAUUAGAUAUACUGAUGAAUCAGGAAAAUAGACAUCAAAAACAUUUUUUAAUCAAAGUCAAUUCUGCAUAGAAAAAAAAAUAAUUUUAAGGGUACAAAAAGCAACAUACUGAAAUAUUAAGGAAAUUUUAUCUUCUUAUCUUUAAAAAUAAUCAACUAUAGUUCAAACCAGCCAAGCAAAUAGGAAGAUACUAAUUUUUCACUAUGUCUGCAAGUUGGAGGCUAAUUUCCCUCUGUGCAUGAAAAGUGUUAAUUACUUGAAUAAAACCUUUUUGGUAAAGCUCAGAGUUCCUUUUGAUGUCAAAAACACAGAAAGUUCAAAGGUUAGACAGUCACUCAACAGUAUGACAGGCCUAAAACCUGAACAGGAAACUCAUUUCUAAACUUACCCGUAAGGUAUUGCAAUCCUAAACCCAGAGUGGCCAGGCAUUGUUUAGCCUGCUGGUGUUUUUGUACUUUGCCUAAGGAUUUAUUCAGAGCGGUGACAAUACCUACCUCAUCACCAAGGAGAAACAUUCUUUCGGAUACAAAGAAUCCCAGCCAUUUCUUCUAACACUGCCCCCACCCCCACCCCACCCACUAAUUACUUUCUCAACAUUCUGGAAGGCUAAAGACCCUAGUCAAGUUGAAUAGCCCCGGAUUUAGCCCACAUUAUGUUCUAUCUUGUACUUCACACCCCUCCCAAAAUUAAAAAGAAAAGAAAAAACAUUAACCACAUUGGAUGUAGUCAGGAGGAGGAUGGCUGCAACAAGAUCAACUUGGAAAUAAGAAAUAACUUCAAUAGAAAGAAAGAAUAGAAGUGGCUAAUCAUAUAGAAAAGGUGUCAUUUACAAAAGGUUACCAGAGGCAUAUAAACUCAGGGAAGCCAGAUUUUGGCAUACAGUGUGAUUCAUUCCUUUAUUCAAUAAGCAUUCCCUAAUGCCUCCAGGCACCCUGCUAGGCACUGGUUGAAAAGGCAAACGUGGUCCCUGUUCCCAAAGAGUUCACAGUGCAGCAGGGAAGAGACCACUAAACAUAUGAUUAUAGUACGCACGUUUGAGCCUUGAAAGAGAUAAAGGAGAGUCAAAAAUUAGGUGAGGGUGAGGUUGGCGGCAGAUGAUGCAAUGGGUCGUGGCAAUAGCAACACUAUGAUUUGAACUGGAAAUACGAAUAUGACGAAUAUGAGUAUCUGUUUAGUAGAGACCUCAGAUAAUCAUCAAAGCAAUGGAGAAAAUGGUACGGAGGACGCCUCCACGAAUUCAAAUCAUCUGUGUUUUCUGAGUUGUUCAGCUGAUAAAUAUGACUUGCCUUUUAUCAUCAACAAGAACUUCGUACCACCCUGAAAUCUGAUCAAAUACUGUUUCCUUGAAAUAGGAGAUGUUAUCCAUUUUUUAACCACUCAAACUUCUUCUCUUAUCUAUUAAUUUCACAAUUCUUUAGAUUCAAUAUAUCAAGUUUGGAAACUAAUAGAUGAAUUAAGUAAAUAAUGGCUUUUUUUUUUUUUUUUUUUUUUACCUCUCAUAAAUUGGAUCCAGUUAUCAGCAAAACAUUGAAGUUCCCUGAAGACGUUCUGGUGGAGACUGAAACAUUAGUUUUUAAAGGAGAUUAGUUUUUUAAUCAAAUACUUAACCUUUUAUAUCACUUGUAGUUUAAAUGGUAUUCUGCAGGCCUUGGGCAUAAUCAAAAUGAAAUGCAUUUUUCUCUGAAGGUAGUUCUUUUAAAACUCAGCCAAUAAUAAUGCCUUUUAAAGUGUAAGGAUUUUUGCCACCAAAAGAACCUGAGCAAUGAACUUAAAACUACAUUUUUAAGUAUAUAGACAAAAAGCAUACCUCAUCUAUUAUAAUAGGUGGAGCAAGUGUUGGCCCUCCUUUACUAAAUACAGAAGUCUCAUACUAUGAGAGGCACUUCAAUGCCGUGGGAAGUCAUAAAAUGUGGUUCCAGUUCUGGCUCCUUCACUAAUUAACACAUCAUCUCUCCAUGUCUCAGCUUCCUCAUAACCCUACUCUUCAGCAGGCAGAUAAGACCAUUAAGUCUUUUGGGGGGAUUGGGGGGAGGGUGGAGUCCUAAAAUUCAAUGGAUAAUAAAACUAGUUAAUAUUUAGGGAGAACUAUCUUAUGUCAGGCACUGAGCAGAAUGCUUUUCAUUCAGUAUGUCAUUUAAUUUUACAAAGCAACACUAAAAAGACAGAUACCAGAAUCACCAUCUUACCAAUGAGGAAAUGGGGGUUUAGACAAUUAAAUGACACACAAAAGGAUAUCAAACACUCAUAACCACUAACUUCAACCAUUUUCCCAAGCCUUUAAGUUCUCACUAGGUCAUGCAGGUAACCAGAUUCCAACUGAUUUUUAAAAUACACAGUUUUCCAGAAAAUGAAACAUUUUGCAGUAUUUUUACACAACAUUGCUGAAUGUCAAUUCUGCAUACUUUUGCAAUAAGAAGGUUUCAAACAAUUUCUCUCUUUGUUUUAUCUCCAGGUAGAUUUACUAUGCAUAGAUAUCUGCUUCUAAAGUCCGAGCAGUGUUCUGGAAUGCAGAACCAGAUCAUCUGCUAGGAUGCCCAUUUUCAUCCCCAAUGUCUACAGAACAGGUAUUUUGGGUUCUUUCUUACCUUUCAUAAAGUGUUUUCAUCACAGAAGCUGCCUCAAAGAAGAUGAGGAAGCAGAUAUCUAAAUAACUGUACCUCUUUCUCGGUAGUCUUUCUGAUCUUUGCCCAUCUGCCUUUCAUCCCUGCAUAUACUGAGUCCGAGGAGGAGAAGGGGAAAAGGGGAUUACAAAGAAAUUGCCACUGUCAUUUAAUGAAUUGAUGCUGGUGUGCUUUUAAUAACCCCAUUUAAUUGUACAGUCGUAUUUUCUGCAGAAGCUCUCCUACCACUAAUGUAUUAACAGUCUCUUGCCCUACCCAGGGGAAUUACAACUGCUCCAUUUUCUCCUCUUUCAACCCAGCCUGUACAUUACUUGUCUUCCUCUUAAAAUUGUCACAAAAACCAAGAGCAAAACAAAAAAUUGCUAGGUUUUAGCCAGGUAUAAGGUAAGUAUAUGAAAAUAACGACAUUUAACUGCUGGGAAAAACAAGAGUUGGGGAGUUCUUGUGAAAGAGGAGUGUAAUUAACAGUAUAAAAAUGAUGAAGUCUUGUGGCCACAAUCAUGGGGACAAGAAAUGUUAAUUUCCCCUUAUUUUAAAACCGUAACAUCAUUAAGUCCGUUAUAGAGAACUGAUGGCAACAUGUGACCUCAGACUAAGGGAAGGGGAUGGAUUUUCUCAUCCUAAGAUACUAUGCCAGGCCAAAAAUAGCAAAAUGCAUUAAAAAUAGCUGAUGUCUUAACUGAGGCCUGUUGUAUCCAGGUAUAUAUUUAUUUCUAAACUUUCACAUCAUGCACCAUAACACAAUGCAAAAAGAGCAAUUCUCAUGUAAGUCUCACUAUUGUCCUAAAAAGCAUUGUUCUUCGCAUGUGAGAGGAAAAAAAGUUUCUCAAACUAGACAUCAUGAAAAGACAUCUUAAGAUUACAUCUGGAAAUCUUUUGAUUUUGUUAUUUGGAAAAUUCUAAAUUUAUUUUCCAAUAAGAUCUUUCUGUUCUUUCUCAAUCAUACUAAUACGAAUAAAUCUCCCCCAAAAUAAAACCAUUAUAAGGUGACAAUAAGAUUGAGUAACCUAAAACAAUGAUAUUUCAGCAGAUGCCCAGUUUCUUUUAACAAGAAACAGAUGGGCAAAGUUUAAGUAAACGUGCGGUAUGAAUUUCUAUACAACAAAUAAGUUCCAAACUUACAGAUAAUGUAACCCCAAACACCAGGUCAAGCUAACUAUAAUUAUAUAGUGAGCUGAACACAUUUUCUUUUAAUUAAGUUUCAAAUGGUUUUCUCACAAGUCAUUCCUAUCCACAGGCCCAGUGAAAUCUCUGCUGGUCUUCUGGACUUCAUUUUAAUUUCCCUCACUCAUUCUAAACUUCUUCUGAAAUUGAAAACAGUGAAGAAAGAAUUAAGUUUGGGGCGAGAGAAAGAAACGUGAAAUUUCAGAACGCAAUGGACAUACAAUUUCAGAGGAUGAAUUCGCCACUUCAAGGCUCGUGCCCAGCGCUGGAUAGAAACAAUGAAAACAGUCUUGGGAACAGGAGCCCCUAGGGAUGUAGGCACUGCCACCCAAUCUGACAGCAAAUACACCUUUGAAUUAAUAAUUUUCAUACUUCCCACACUCUGAACUUUUUUUCCUGAAAUAAGAAUAUUCCUCCAUUCCUAGAAAGGAGCCCAACCCUGAAAUUAAACCCAAUGCUACAGAACCAUUGAAUCGUUUCAUCAGAUAUUCACAUACUAAAACUAAAACCUUAGCUUCAGAUUGGAGGUACAGUUUUCAGAAUAGUUAUUAGACAUUGUCAGGGAUCUUGAACCAAGGAUCAGAGGUCUACAAACCCUACAAAAACCUACAUAGAACUUUGAUGUGUACUUUUCUGAAAGGAGGUUUUAGAAUCCAGAGUGCUCUCUGACCUAAAAAAGUCAAUAACCAACCAUAAAGUUGUUUCUUUAUGCUGGGGAGAAAAACAUCAUAAAGUUAUGCCAGUUGAACAGAAUAUUGAAGGAAAACAUUUUCCUUCAAUCUAAUGUGUUUACACAGAAAGAAUUUAAUGACAAACUUUUAUCAUGUAGACUACAACAGAAAAAAAAUUGUUUAAUAAAAGAUAAGUUUGAUUCAUGCAUGUAAUUGGGAAGCAUUUGUUCUUAUUGUUUUUACAUAUUAAUGUACAAAGAGAUUCUUUCUCCUGUGAGUAGAAUAUAAAAACCUGGUAGAAACAAGCCCAUUCUCAGGCUUAUAAAACAAGCCUUUACAGAUAAUUAUGUUUUAUUACUCUUCAUUUUAUGGGGAUUGUGUUAUACAAAACAAAUACCAGAUGCCUAUUUGUUUUAUUCAUUUCAGGGCAAAAAAAAAAAAAAAAAA